rnacentral:rRNA from 1 species
CCUACGGGCGGCAGCAGUGGGGAAUCUUCCGCAAUGGGUGAAAGCCUGACGGAGCAACGCCGCGUGAUCGAAUGAAGGCCUUCGGGUUGUAAAGAUCUGUUGACAGGGACGAAUAAGCAAUGCGAAUAGUUUUGUGUAUGACGGUACCUGUUUAGAAAGCUCCGGCUAACUACGUGCCAGCAGCCGCGGUAAUACGUAGGGAGCAAGCGUUGUCCGGAAUUACUGGGCGUAAAGGGCGCGUAGGUGGGCGCUUAAGUCAGGUGUGAAAACUCCGGGUUCAACCUGGAGACUGCACUUGAAACUGGGUGUCUUGAGGGCAGGAGAGGAAAGUGGAAUUCCUAGUGUAGCGGUGAAAUGCGUAGAUAUUAGGAGGAACACCGAUUGCGAAGGCAGCUUACCAAACUAUAUCUGACGUUGAGGCACGAAAGCGUGGGUAGCAAACAGGAUUAGAUACCCGAGUAGUC